GCAGGCGUUGUAGGGUGCUAAUACCUUCCCUACACGUAAUCGACUCCCGAACCCAAUCUUUGGUUUUCGUGGACCGUGCUUUAUCAUUUUAUGGUUUUUCCGUAGUUUUCCAGAAUAAACUAUGGUGGCGACUCCAAACUCUUUCUCAAACAUGUUUUCUUUUUGGAUCGUCGUCCCGUCGCGAAAUCGGUUCCGGCAGAUGGCGACUCCACUGGGGACUUUGAGAGUCAGGCCAUUUAAUUAGAUACUCAAAUUCGAUAUGGUUUUGCUUUAUGUUUUUCUUCCCCUUUUUCUUUAUCUAUGUUUGAUGUUUGAAAUAAUUGUUGUAUAUUGAACCCUAGGGUAGAAAACAUGUCUAUAUCUGCCUGGGAUUUUUCUGGUUGUUUUGUAGGUGAGUGUUUGGGGUAUGCAUAUUCAUCCUCCCUUCACACACACACUUUAUGCAUAUCAUGAGUGGGGCCCUAUACCCGGGUCUGAGCGAAGUUUAGAAUUAGAGGGGUUGUGUAGCGGUGCCACUUGGGCCAUACUGCCUGUUUGGCUAUCGUGAGAACCCCAGCUAGAGUCUGUUCUCUUCAUUUGUCUCUCCGCAUCUAGUUGAUUACUCGAUUGUUGUGGAGACGCUGUGGAGGGGGCCAUAGCUCUAGUGACUAUUGAUCUUUAGGCUCAGGGAACCAUCCUUGUGAGAUUGCAUAUACUUGACCUUGAAUCUUAAGCAUCGAACCUUCGUAGGGGCAUAAAGGGAGAUGUUUGCAGUCUUUUAACCCUCGUUUUCAUUUAAUAAAAUCACGCAUCUUGUGCAUAUCUUGAGUCACUUGUCUUUCUUGCGAACCGUCAAACUCAUGUUUUUCAAAAAUAACAAAAAAUGAUAAAUCAAAAACAAAAGUUGGAGUGUCAGACUUUNCC
rnacentral:lncRNA from 1 species